UGCAGCAGGCGCGAAACCUCCGCAAUGUGAGAAAUCGCGACGGGGGGAUCCCAAGUGCCAUUCUUAACGGGAUGGCUUUUCUUUAGUGUAAAAAGCUUUUGGAAUAAGAGCUGGGCAAGACCGG
rnacentral:rRNA from 1 species